UCUUGCUCUGCCUUUGUGGUGGAUAGUGGAGUGUUUCCCAUGUGGUAUUGGUGUGCGGGAUAUCCCCUCCCAAGGUACAGGACAUUACAUUUUUCUUCAUUGAAUUGUAGCGGCCACUUUUUGUUCCAUUCCUGUAGCUUGGUGAGGUCUUCUGGUAGGAAAUCCACAGUCAAGGGGUUAAUAUGUAGAAAGAGAGAGACAGCAAAAUUUAGUGAGGUCAAGGAGGUAUUCUAUCAACCAAGAAAGAAUCACACGUCGGUAAUUGGGUUUCCGUAUAACUUUAUUGAUAAUUCUCGGACAGUAAGAAUCACAAUGGUUUAUCUCUAGUAAGGCAAAGCUGGGUGCACUCGUAGGUAUCACAGAAAAUAAUAAUAAGAAUAAAUAUGAUGUCGCUUCCCUUUCCCGCGGACGUAGAAUUUAUUUAUUAUUUACUUAUUGAUGUCAUAAGCUUGCACACGCCUUCCAUAUUAGCAGCCAAAUUGUCUCUUUCCUCUGCUUCUUGCUUGUUAGUCUCCCUCUCCAUCUCCUCUUCUUAUUUUUCUUAUUAUUCCUUCUCUCCUGUUUUUCAUCUUGUUCUGUUUCUUCCUCCUCCUCUUCCUCUUCCUACCCCCCUUCUUCUUCAUCAUCAUCCCCUCCUCCUCCUUCCUUUUUAUUCUUCCUCUCCUCUUCUUUUUCAUAUAAUUCCUACUCUCCUGUUUUUCAUCUUGUUCUGUUUCCUCCUCCUCCUCCUCUUCCUGUCCUCCUUAAUCAUCAUCUCCUCCUCCUCCUCCUCCUUCUCUUCAAUUUCAUACCUCUCCCUAAUUCUCCACAGUAAUUUCCUUCCCUCGAGAGCCACAUAAUUUGAGGCGUUUACGUACAACCGAACGUAACACAGUCGUAACAACAUUCUUCAGCCGAACUUACUUACGACACCGCCACCUCUCGUACGUACAUUCCGGGAAGCAUCACUCGUAAGCCCGUAUCUUUAAACAUAUCAGCGCCCCAGUUCACUCAUUUCAAAAGCCUCUCUCAUAUGUAGAAGUUGCUGGGAUUCUCAUGGACUGUUUUGUGAUGCCAGUGAUAGUUUUACACGGCUUUUGCAGCUAUAGGAAAGUCACCCAUGAAAAUCCAAUCAGUCUUCUCUAUGGUAUUGGGAAAUAGUAGUAAUGGGAGAGAGUCAGUUGGAAAAGCCUCUCGUAGAAGUUACUAGGCUUUCCAUGGACUGUUUUUUGAUACGUUUAAGAAUAUAGGCAAUGAUAAUAAUAAUAAUAAUAAUAAUAAUAAUAAUAAUAAUAAUAAUAACAAUACCCCAUUACUUAAUCAUAUAAUUUCUUGUUACGCUAACUUACCAAACACUACCGUAUAUAGUAUUUAAAUCAUUGAACUUGCAACCCUAUUUACACGAGACCAUUAUGUACGUCAUUUACACACAUUUACACGGCCAUAACAACGCUAUCGAGCUAUGUACAAAAUCAACAAACACUGGACACGCUUGUAGAAGAGUCGAGAUAUCCAUUAAGCAUUGAAUGAAUUUCAAAAGGAGAAAUUUAGAGAUAGUUUUACACAGACAUGAAUAUUUUAGUUACUACUUCUACUAUAACUACUACUACAUAAUUAUCAUAGCCUUGGUGGGUGAUGGGUGACAGGUCAAUCAAUAGAGGUGUGGAUAAGUGGAACAGGCCUGGCAGUCAUGUGGUGAGUGCCAAUGCCAUAGACAUUCAAGAAGAGGUUGGAUAAAUUCAUGGAUAGUGGGGUUAGGCAUACAGGAACAAGUUUGGCAGUCAUGUUGUGAGUGCCAAUACCAUAGAUACAUUCAAGAAUAGGUUGGAUAAAUUCAUGGAUAGUGAGGUUAGGCAGGGUUAGGUGUACAGGAACAAGUUUGGCAGUCAUGUGGUGAGUCCCAAUACCAUAGAGACAUUCAAGAAGAGGUUGGAUAAAUUCAUGGAUAGUGAGGUUAGGCAUACAGGAACAGGCUUGGCAGUCAUGUUGUGAGUGCCAAUACCAUAGAGACAUUCAAGAAGAGGUUGGAUAAAUUCAUGGAUAGUGAGGUUAGGCAUACAGGAACAGGCUUGGCAGUCAUGUUGUGGGUGCCAGUACCAUAGAGACAUUCAAGAAGAGGUUGGAUAAAUUCAUGGAUAGUGAGGUUAGGCAGGGUUAGGCAUACAGGAACAGGCUUGGCAGUCAUGUUGUGGGUGCCUGUACCAUAGACACAUUCAAGAAGGGGUUGGAUAAAUUCAUGGAUAGUGAGGUUAGGCAGGGUUAGGCAUACAGGAACAGGCUUGGCAGUCAUGUUGUGGGUGCCAGUACCAUAGACACAUUCAAGAAGGGGUUGGAUAAGUUCAUGGAUAGUGAGGUUAGGUGGGGUUAGACGUACAGAAACAGGCUUGGCAGUCAUGUUGUGGGUGCCAAUACCAUAGACACAUUCAAGAAGGGGUUGGAUAAGUUCAUGGAUAGUGAGGUUAGGCUGGGUUAGGCUUAUAGGAACUGCCACGUAUAGACCAACCAGCCUCUUGCAGACUCCUAUAUUCUUACGUAAGAUCGACUCUUCCACAAGCGUCUCCAGUGCGUACAUCAAUGUGUAAGAACGAGAGGGAAGGUCACACAGAUUGAGAGUAACUACAGCUUAUGAUAAUAUAUAGCUUAGGUCAACAUGAGGUGCAGAGAAGAGAGUAAGUUUACAGAGCUAAGCAUAAAGUAGCUGGCUCGCUGCUUUGGUCAAGGGAGUGACUUUGGUGCCUUAAAACUAACAGUGCCGCCCGUAACGAAACUUGUGCUCUUUGUUAUCCAACAAAAAAAUAUUAAUUCCAUAUUCAAUAAUGUUUCUUAAGUGAGCCAGUCCAUUUCAGUCCAUCAGCAGUUAUUUAUAUAUAUUUUUUCAGCCCUCUGAAUAUCUCUCACUAUGAAAACAAACAAUUACGUGUUCAAUAAUGUUUCUCAAGUGAUCCAGUCAGUUUCAUUACAUCAACAGAUCUGUGUAUUUAUUUUUCAGGAAUAUCUCCCACUACGAAAACAGACAAUUACAUGUUCAAUAAUGUUUCUCAAGUGAUCCAGUCAGUUUCAUUCCAUCAACAGACCUGUGUAUUUAUUUUUCAGGAAUAUCUCCCACUACGAAAACAGACAAUUACAUGUUAAAUAAUGUUUCUCAAGUGAUUCAGUCAGUUUCAUUCCAUCGACAGUUAUUUGUAUAUAUUUUCUCAGCCCUUGGAAUAUCUUGCUAUAAAAA